UGAUAAUGUUUGUUAAUGAAAGAGUACAGGACAAAUGAACAUUUAAACCUUAAACUAGCAGCGCACGUCACUUUCUAAAUGAAGUGCGCGACGUGCGCGUGCCCGUCAUUUUGUAACGGUCAACUUCCAGCGGACGGACACGGAGGAAAGGGCCUGGCUGCCACCAGUUGAGUCAAUGAUUCAGUGAAGAGACAGUUUGGGCAGCAGCAACAAGACAACUAUUACAAGUAGAGAUGGGUUUCAAGAACUGGUACUAAUUUGGUUCCUGACUUGUUCGACACAACCACAUAUCAUGUAAAUCAUCUCAGAGUGGAUGGCAGCAAGGAUCCAGGAUCAAGAGAUCAUUCAUCAUGGAGACUGUUCCACAGGAAGCAGUUUAUCCUGGGUCAUCCUGACCAUUCUGCUGUUCUGGAUAUUUGAGGGAAAGAUUAAAAACAAGGAGGUCUGGGAAUGACUGAAGGGAACUGACAGCAGUGAGGGAAGGAAGUAAUCACCAGAAUAGAAGGAUAUUGACCGUGCAGGCCCAGGAUGAAGAAGAGGAGGAAGAACACAUUUAACAAUUUUCUCAUAAACUUUCCAUGUGUUAUAAUAAAAACAAUGAACAUGACUACAAUAAUAUGCUAAAUGUUAUUAAAAGAUUCCAGUUUGCAAGAAAUCUGAGUGUCUGACUCUACACUAGAGGAACUCUUUUCUGAAGAACAUCAGGUGCUGAGAAGAAGCAUUGUUAUUACAGCAAAACACUGCAUCAAGCCUCCUGUCCUUCCCUCAGAAGAGCCUGUCUUCUGCUGCUGGGGUAAGACACUCUUCCUCGUCUCUAUCGGCUGUCCAACACCUAACUCUGCCUCCUCAGCUCUGUCUGAAAGAGUCUCCUCCACAGUCAGUAAUCAGAGAUCACAGAUUCUUCUGAGAAAGUCAAUACGCUCAUUCUCUUAAAAAACUUUGUUUUUUUGGGUGGGACAAAUAAUACAGGAGAGAUGCUAGAAAUCUCUAUAUUGUUCAUUUUUCAUAUCUUUAUGCUUUAUGAAUGUUUUUCUUCUGAGAAGCUCAAAAAUUAUGGUUCUUUGGUAAUUGCUAUAUUGUUUAGGUUUAUCCUCUGAUAGUGAGCACAGAGCCCUGAUCAUGACAUGCAAGAAAAAGAAAAAAAAUAAUGUCCAUGAUUUACUAAAUCGUUCCCUCGAUGUACUAAAACGUGCAUGAUUACUUUUACAUUUCAUUGAUUUGCUUAAUCGUAUGCACAAUUUACUAAUUCGUUCUCUUGAUGUAUAAAUAGUGUACAUGAUUUAGCAAAUCGAGGGAAUGAAAUAGAAAAUCGUGCGCAUGAAUUAGCCUAUAUUUUUUCCUGCAUGCCGUGUAAUUAAAGCACAUCACCACCAGACAUUUAUA